ACGAACGCUGGCGGCGUGCUUAACACAUGCCAGUCGAACGGAAAGGCCCUGCUUUUGUGGGGUGCUCGUGUGGCGAACGGGUGAGUAUCCCGUGAGUAACCUGCCCUUGACUUUGGGAUAACUUCAGUAAACUGUGGCUACUACCGGAUAAGAGCUCCUGCUGCUUGGUGGGGGUUGGAACGUUUCGGCUGUUGGGUUUGGACUCGCGGCUUCUCAGCUUGUUGGUGGGGUAGUGGCUUACCAAGGCUUUGACGGGUAGCCGGCCUGAGCGGGUGACCGGACAAAUUGGGACUGAGAUGCGGCACAGACUCAUACGGGAGGCAGCAGUGGAGAAUAGUGCACAAUGGGCGGAAGCCUGAUGCAGCAAAGCCGCGUGCGGGAUAAGGGCAUUCGGGUUGUAAACCGAUUUCGCCUGUGACGAAGCGUGAGUGACGGUAAUGGGUAAAGAAGCACCGGCUAACUACGUG
rnacentral:rRNA from 1 species